rnacentral:lncRNA from 1 species
UCUGCUUCAUGGCACCCCAUUUCUGCACUUCCUGUAUUAGCCACUUGGAGAUUCCCUCCGCUGCCUUCUCAGCCGCCAUGAAACCAACCUCCAAUUGAAUUUUAUAUUCGCCGGUGCACAAACAAGGAGUGAAUUGGAGGAUAUGUACAAUGGCUAAAUUGACAUGCUAGCAUUACAUAUGCAUGCACAAAAUAGUCAAUUAUUGUUUCUGUAAAUGCAGUUGUUAAAACACACGGAGGCAGCCUUCAGAAGAGAGGGGGUAUAUGUUACAACCCAAUUUAUCUAGUCAAAAAUCAAGAGUUGAGUUUUCAAAGUCAAAGUUAAAUAGGACCUUAAUGAAGUGAAUUGUUUUAUUGGGGUUAUUUUACAAAUUGACAAUCCUUGAGGAUUUAACAUGGACAUCAUUUAAAUUUGAGGAUUUAUUUUACAAGAAUGGAAAGUUAAUGACUAGACUUUAUUUAAAACAUAAAAGGAGGGACUUGACUUGCAAUUAUUCAAUAAUUAUCCAUUAAAUAUCAUCUAUAUUACCCAUUUUCUCAUAUUUUGGGGAAAAAUGAGAGAAGGCUCGAGAGAACCUGAGAGAGAAGAAAAGAGAAGGGAAGAAAGAAGAUGAAGAAGAAGAAGAAGACGACGAAGAAGAAAGAAGAUGAUUUCAAGCUAGGGUUUUCAAGUUCUUUAAUUUCUCUUUGAUUUAGCAUGGUAAGUAUAAAGUAUAUUGUUUAAGGGAUAUGGACAAUUUGCUUUAAUUCAAUGUUUAGCAAGAAAUAUGUGUUAUUGAUAUGUAUUUGAUGUUAUAAAUAAAGAUAUAGCAAAGAAAUGUUUAUUUGGAUAUUGAUGUUGAAGAAAGUGAAAACUUUGGAAAUGGGUUUGUGAGAUAAAUGCAUAUUCUUUGAAAUUCUUGUGAUUAUAUGAUGCUAAACACUUAGAUUAAGGAUUUGAGGUUGAAAUUCUCCAAAUUUUCAGCCAUUUUCAAGCUAUUGUAGUAUACCAGAAAAGAGCCAUUUCUGUCCAUGUUUUCGAUGAUAUAUUUUAAUAUAUAGACAUUGGUGCUAGUUUCAAUCUAGUUUCAAUAUUUUGGAAUUAUAGUGCUAGUUUUGCCAAUCAUAUAAUUUUGGUGGAUUUUUAGUAUUGGAACCAAAUUAAGUGUUGAAUAUUUGGGGUUUUGGUGUUAAAAUAAUUUAUAUGAAGGAGUACAUGUAGUGACCAUAAUUGGGAUUAUGAAGUUGAAAAUAAAAUAUAUCAAGUCCCCAUUGGUAAAUUGAUAUUUCUAAUGGUAGGAAAAUACUCAAGACUCCUCUAUGAAGGGAUAUAAUUUAUUGUAGCGAGAGCGAGAUAAAAUUCUUGGUAUUGAAAGUGAGAAGGCGAUGAGAAGAUCGAAACAAUGAUCAACUAUAACUUGGUGAGUGGAUAUAAAACUUAUUUUUUAGAAAUUAAUUAUUUAUUAAAUUUACAUUAGAUUAGAAAAUUUAUUAUUUCAGACAGUUGAUUUGACCGCGUGAUUUUUAGAAUGAAAUGGAUUUAUAAUCAGUUACUUUUAAAGUUAAAAUCAGUUUAAUUAAAUUAUUUCACUACCAUGUUUUAUUCGAACUACAUGUUUCAGUAUAGCCAAAGUUAUUUUUUAAAAACCACCAGAAUGUACCCAGGUGAUUUUACUCGCUUUACACUGGUGUGAAUGUGUUUCCAUAGUGCAUGGCCAGUUAUGGUGAUUUUACCCGCUCUGCACUAUUGUGAAUGUGUUUCCAUAGUGUAUGACCAAAAUUACAGAAUUUUAGCUCUGCGCGCGUAUGACCAGAAUUUAAGAAUUACAGAAUUCUAGAAUUAUAGAUUUCAGAACUGAAUAGUUUUACCAUGUAUAUCGGUACUAACCGAUACAUGAGUAAGGUUAUUCCAGGUACCUUUUUGGUGUGAUUUUUCAGUAUUUUUACAGCUUAUCAGAUUUCAGAUUAUAGAAUUCAGUCUAUUCAAUUCUCAGAUUAAAACUUUCAGCUUAUAGUAUUGAGCAGCAGCUAUAUUUUAUAGAUUUUCACGGAUGUCAUAUUAUUUAUAUUCGUUGCAUUUUAUAGUUACUUAUCUAGAAUGAAGAACAAAGAAUUUUAUGAUGUAUUCAUGUUUAAUUUUAAAAGUGUUACCAGAUUUCAGAAUUUCUAGAAGUUUUAUUAGUGCAAUAAUUUUCAGAAAAUAUGUAUAAAUGAGAAAAGUUUACUUAUUUGAAAAUUAUCCACUCACUGAGCUUUAAGCUCAUAUAUUUUUUUCUCCUUUUUCUUUAUCAACAGAUAGCAGCCGAUUUGAGCAGUUUUGGAGCAUGUUAAAUCACCGAAUUGAGCCACACAUCGUAGGUUGUAUGACAUCCUUUAUCAGAUUAUACAGUAUGUGUUCUUUUGGAGUACAUGUAUCUUAAAUCAAAAAAAUUCAUCAUGGGCUCAUUACAUCUUUGACGUAUUUGGUAUAUUUGAGGAUUGUUGGUUGUAAAGCAAGUAAAUAUUGAAUGGCUAACAUUUUAUUUGAAUAGUUUGUAUUAUGAGCUACUGAGGUACCCUAUUUUAUAUUAUAGGUAUUGAAUUGUGGAAACUUGGUUAUUGUCUAGGUGGUUUUAGUUCAUAUUUUAGAGGAAACUCUGUCCAAUUUUGUUAAAAAUAUUUUUCAGUCAAGCAAGUCAAGUUGCCUUGGUAGUAGAUCCAGCAUUUAACUGGUAUCUACCAUCGGAGCACUAUACGUGUCGGAUCUACUAGGAUGAUUCGGACGGGUCGUGUCAAUUGAUAUCAGAGCAUGGUUCAAUGGUUGUUAAGCUUGAGUAAUUCAUGAAUUAAUUUUUCAGAAUAGUAUGUCAUUAAGAUUGUUAGUUGUGGCGUGGUGGUAGAACUCACAGGCUCCAAUGUAGUAUUUGAAACUCAUGUUACCCCUUAUAACGAAGAUAUGGCAACUAAGAAACAAGGGCCUCUAAUGAUUUGAGCAUUUAAGGAAUUAUCGAUGGUAAUGAGAGUUGCUAGAGUUGUCAUGUUCGUCCAUGUUAUAUUUUCUCUAAUAUAUUAAUAAUUGCUCUAUAUAUCCAACAUGCAGCUAAGCAAAGAGUAUAACUUUUCUUAGUAGUGGAAUGCAAAAUCACAUCAUUUAGAUUUAUUGGGUUAUGAGAUUCUUUUAUGAUUAUUAGAGGGAAUGUGUUGUAAAUGUUUUGGAUGAUAAGUAUAGUCAAAUGUUGAUAUAUGUAUAAUUGGUGAUAUUACUAGGUGAAAUCAUGAUCGUUUUUUACAUCUAUAUUAUUGUGGUAUCAUGAGAAUUAUUGUGGGAAUUUGUAAUCAUAUUUUGUAUAUGGAGGAAGAAGCGUGUAUUAGAAAAUCAAGAUGUGGAGAUAUGACAAGGAAUCUUGUUCAUGACAAAAAUAAUGAAACCAUAUCGAGUUUUGAUUCAUGAUGAUAAUGGUGUUAUUAAAUAUGUACCUUGCGAUUUUGAGUAAACUAAUGUGGUUGUGGUCAUCCUUUGUUGUUUAGGAACAAUUAAGUAUUUAUGUUUGUAUUUCAACUGCUAUUGAAGGAAAUAUUAAAGGUUUAAUUACUCGGUUUGGGUGUAUGAAAAUAAGUUAUGAUGAAUGAAAAAAUGAGAGAAAAUAUUUCUUACAGCUUUAGAAAUGACCAGUAUGUAAGUAUAUCAGUUGCAAGGAUUUAAUGGUUGACAAUGUUAUAAGUUGUUGGGUACCCCAGCUAGAGAGUUAAGACCCUCCACAACUACGCAAUAUUUUCCGAGCUUGCUGUUCCAUCCAACGGUUCUUACUCAGAUAAUCCUUGGCUUAGCUUAGUUGAAUCAUCGUGGUUUUAGUAGAACGAAGGGUACGAAAUCAAUCUGAUUGAUUUUUCGAUCAAAAGUACUAGGUACGGAGGUGUAUGUAACCUACUCAAUAAGAGUACAACAAUGAACACAUAUCAUUUUGGAAUUAGAGUUUUAAUGAUUUUGUUGUUUAUCUAUCAAUAUACAUUCAAAGGAGUUGAGUACACAGUUACCUAAGUAUUGAAUCACAUGUAAGAUUGUAUGAUUUUUUUUAUGUAUAUAUCGGAAAAUCUCUAGAUAUCAUUUGCAUGAUAAAUAAAAAGGGAAUGAUAUUAUGUGUAAUUGAUGACAAUCAUAUGAGAAAUCUUAAUUCUCUUGGGAAGCUAAAUGAUCAUUAGCAUCAUCGAAAAUUGUAGAGAUGAUAGGAAUUAAGGUGAUGUAUAUCUACAUGUAUAACAAGAAUCUCAUGGAGGAUAAAUGAUGAUAUUUUAUUGAAUAGUGAUCGCUAGAGAACAAUGUGUUAAUAUGCAUGUUAUGCAUCGAGAAAAUUGACAUUCAUGUAGCUUUGAUCAUUUUGAUUAUUUAUGGAUUAUUUGAUUAUAAGAAGUGAUAAAUAUAUGAAUAGACUUCACAAAGACUACUUAUUGCUAGAAAAAUUGUUAUUCAAUGAAAAUAAUUAUUGGAUUUGUGCAUUUAUGUAAAUUGGGGAAAAUGACAUGAAUGAAGUGGGUCGAAGAAAUACAUUUUGAUUUUCAUUCUUGAAAUACAGUAAGAGGAACAUGCAUUGAAGUAAAGGAAACGAAAAGAGUAAUUAGUAUAUCACCUUUCACAUAUAAGCAUGUAUGGUUUUAAAAAUGAAAUGAUGCUAUGUAAAUUAUAGAAUAAGGAAAGAAGAAAAGAGUAUAGAACUAUAGAGUUGAAAUUGAUGGAGAUUGAGAAAUUAGAAUACGAAAUUUUGGUGGUCAAUAGAUGGCUGAAAAGUUCACGUAAUAAAUAUUAAGGUUAUUACUUUGUAAUGUUAAGAAAAAUUAAUAUAAUUAGAUGUUUUAAGCCUACAAUAUAGCAAUAAAUGAUCAGAUUACAUGAUCAGGUGAAUAGUAAUUAAAUGAAAUUUAUGGUUGUCCUAUGGCAUAUAAUGUGAUGAAAUUUUUGGGUUAUUUUAGAUUGUAUUUUUGGGUCUCACGAAUAAAGUAUUUCAUUCUUAUCGAGAUUUAUACGCUAUGGAAUAUAUGGAUGAUAUGUUGGAUUGUUAAAGUCGAAGAUAAUCAUUAAAUGUAAAUUUUACUCACUGUGGAGUGAUAUCUUUUGGUUACAUUAUCUUCAUUAGAGCUCUUUAUGAUAUACAAUGACCUCUUUAUGGAAGAAGAGUAUAAAAUUAUCAUGGAUUAAAUGUUAUAAUUAUCUCUUCAAAGAAAGGAAGAGCACCAAAACUAUCUGAGUUUAGAAAUGUGAAAAGUUUUGUUAUCGGAUUAAAUUUUGAGGAAGUAUUUACACUUGUAUCUAAAUUUGACGAGGGCUUCAUUUAUGAAAAUGAGUUAUGUUAGAAUUUAGAAAGUGUUCUAAAGUAAAAAAGAUAAAUUAUGGAUUAUGCUAUAAGGUUACUUAAGAAGCAUGAUUAAAACAUGAUUUAGAGUGGAUUAUAUUGGGGUUGAAAUUAGUAGUUGCACUAUUAUCACAUUAUUAGAAAUCGAUACUUAUUGAUCACCAAAGUUAAGGUAUAUUUUUAAUUGAAAAGGGUUAAAAUUGAAAUUGUGUAUAUAUUAUCAUUUAGUGAUACAGAAUUAAAGGAAAAGAACACCAUAUUGAGCUCUAUCAAUUGUUGUUGGGGAUAGUUAGAAUUUUAGAAAAUCGUGAACAAUUGAAUUUUUGCAUAUAUUGUCAUGUUAGAAUUGGAUUAGUUACCCUAAAAUGUUUUUUAUUUUGGGGUUCCAAGUACAGAUAAUUGAGAUAAAAUGGUAUUUGAAUCAUUAUUGAUAGAUUGAUAAAGGUUACAAGAUUCUUUUCAAAUAAUAUAGUUAGUUCAUGAGAUAGAUUUGUUAAAUUAUAUUUAUAUAAGAUUGUUAUUUCUACAGGGAGUCUGAGCAUUAUCUUUGGGUUUGUUGUAGAAAGCUAUAUAACUAAGCUCCAUUGUAUAAUUUAUUUUAAUCGAAUAACAGCCACUAUGAAGACAAGUUUAGAAGAGAGGCUAUCAACUUUGAGUUUUAAUUAUAACAAAAGAUGAAGUUUUGAAGAAUGUGAAAAGUAUCUUAAGAAUUCAAAUUGGGAAAUAGCUGAAAUUUUUCUAAGAUUUGAUGAAAUGAAAAGCUGAGAAUAUCAUAUAUUGGCAUUUGAGACAUUAUCUAAACAUGAGUCCAAUUGUUCAAGGAUGGUGUUUAUAAUAGGUUUAUCUGGUAUUUAUGAAUGUGUUGUCUAUUUCUACGGCUAGUAAGUGGAUGUCAAAUUUACCUUAUGCUUUAAGAUUAUUAGCGAAGUUAAAAGAGAACUUAAUUUAGAAAAAGUCAAAUAAGAUGCAAGAUCUGAAAGAAUGAAAUUGUGUUUACUUAAGGUUGCUGGAGAAAUCAUUCAAUAAAAGAUGCCCUAUGGCAAGUGGAGAUCAAUUUUGUGCUCAAUAUUCUCAUUUAUUCAUUACCUAGUUAGUUGCUAGUUGAAUUUCAAGGAAGAAAUUCUUUUAAGUAAGUAAGAUUGUUACAACCCAUUUUAUCUAGUCAAAAGUCAAAAGUUGAAUUUUCAAAGUCAAAUGAGGACCUUAAUUAAGUAAAUUAUUUUAUUGGGGGUUAUUUUACAAAUUACAAUCCUUGAGGGUUUAACAUGCACAUCAUUUAAAUUUGAGGAUUUAUUUUACAAGAAUGGAAAGUUAAUGACUAGACAUUAUUUAAAACAUAAAGUGAGGGACUUGACUUGCAAUUAUUCAAUAAUUAUCCAUUAAAUAUCAUCUAUAUUACCCAUUUUCUCAUAUUUUGGGGGAAAAUGAGAGAAGGCUCGAGAAAACCCGAGAAAGAAGAAAAGAG